UGCCAGCCGCCGCGGUAAUACGUAGGGAGCGAGCGUUAUCCGGAAUUACUGGGCUUAAAGUGCAUGUAGGCGGUAAAUUAAGUCAGGUGUCAAAUCCAUCAGCUCAACUGAUGUACGCACUUGAUACUGGUUUACUAGAGGCUAAUAGAGGGAAGUGGAACUCAUGGUGUAGCGGUGAAAUGCGUAGAUAUCAUGAGGAACCCCAGUGACGAAGGUGACUUCCUGGAUUAUGCCUGACGCUGAGAUGCGAAAGCGUGGGGAGCGAACGGGAUUAGAUA
rnacentral:rRNA from 1 species